rnacentral:misc_RNA from 1 species
ACAAACUUGGUCAUUUAGAGGAAGUAAAAGUCGUAACAAGGUAACCGUAGGUGAACCUGCGGUUGGAUCAUUAACAAAUCAAGAAGGGCUGUCCAAAAGACAGCCUUUUCUCAACACCUGUGAACUGUUUAUGUCUCUGGUGGGUUAAAAGAGCAGCAGUGCUGCUUAGAGUCGCCUCUACCCACUAUAUUAUUUUAAACCUAGUAGUAUUGUUUGUCUUAUAAAAGUAGUUUAACUUGAACAACUUUUGGCAACGGAUCUCUAGGCUCUCGCAUCGAUGAAGAACGCAGC